rnacentral:rRNA from 1 species
AGAGUUUGAUCCUGGCUCAGGACGAACGCUGGCGGCACGCUUAACACAUGCAAGUCGAACGAGAGAAGAGGAGCUUGCUUUUCUGAUCUAGUGGCGGACGGGUGAGUAACACGUGAGCAAUCUGCCUUUCAGAGGGGGAUACCGAUUGGAAACGAUCGUUAAUACCGCAUAACAUAAUUGAACCGCAUGAUUUGAUUAUCAAAGAUUUAUCGCUGAAAGAUGAGCUCGCGUCUGAUUAGCUAGUUGGUAAGGUAACGGCUUACCAAGGCGACGAUCAGUAGCCGGACUGAGAGGUUGAUCGGCCACAUUGGGACUGAGACACGGCCCAGACUCCUACGGGAGGCAGCAGUGGGGAAUAUUGCACAAUGGAGGAAACUCUGAUGCAGCGAUGCCGCGUGAGGGAAGAAGGUUUUAGGAUUGUAAACCUCUGUCUUCAGGGACGAAAAAAGACGGUACCUGAGGAGGAAGCUCCGGCUAACUACGUGCCAGCAGCCGCGGUAAUACGUAGGGAGCGAGCGUUGUCCGGAAUUACUGGGUGUAAAGGGAGCGUAGGCGGGAUCGCAAGUCAGAUGUGAAAACUAUGGGCUUAAUCCAUAAACUGCAUUUGAAACUGUGGUUCUUGAGUGAAGUAGAGGUAAGCGGAAUUCCUAGUGUAGCGGUGAAAUGCGUAGAUAUUAGGAGGAACAUCAGUGGCGAAGGCGGCUUACUGGGCUUUAACUGACGCUGAGGCUCGAAAGCGUGGGGAGCAAACAGGAUUAGAUACCCUGGUAGUCCACGCCGUAAACGAUGAUUACUAGGUGUGGGGGGACUGACCCCUUCCGUGCCGCAGCAAACGCAAUAAGUAAUCCACCUGGGGAGUACGACCGCAAGGUUGAAACUCAAAGGAAUUGACGGGGGCCCGCACAAGCAGUGGAGUAUGUGGAUUAAUUCGAAGCAACGCGAAGAACCUUACCAGGUCUUGACAUCGUAUGCAUAGCUCAGAGAUGAGUGAAAUCUCUUCGGAGACAUAUAGACAGGUGGUGCAUGGUUGUCGUCAGCUCGUGUCGUGAGAUGUUGGGUUAAGUCCCGCAACGAGCGCAACCCUUACUGUUAGUUGCUACGCAAGAGCACUCUAGCAGGACUGCCGUUGACAAAACGGAGGAAGGUGGGGAUGACGUCAAAUCAUCAUGCCCCUUAUGACCUGGGCCUCACACGUACUACAAUGGCUGUCAACAGAGGGAAGCAAAGCCGCGAGGUGGAGCGAACCCCUAAAAGCAGUCUUAGUUCGGAUUGUAGGCUGCAACCCGCCUACAUGAAGUCGGAAUUGCUAGUAAUCGCAGAUCAGCAUGCUGCGGUGAAUACGUUCCCGGGCCUUGUACACACCGCCCGUCACGCCAUGGGAGUCGGUAACACCCGAAGCCUGUAGUCUAACCGCAAGGAGGACGCAGUCGAAGGUGGGAUUGAUGACUGGGGUGAAGUCGUAACAAGGUA